AAUAAACCAAUCUUUCACUUUUUACCUAUAAUAUUUAACUCUUCGUCUUAUUUGAAAAAAAUUACGAUUAAUAUUUUUGUUUUUAUUAGAUUAUAAAUUAUGAAUAGUAUUUUACGUGUGACUAUUUUUUAAAAAAAUUCUUGAAAAUUUUUCAAAUAAAACAGAUAGUCAAACACUGGACAGACAAAUCUAAAGUUUGCCUUAUU
rnacentral:pre_miRNA from 1 species